UAAGUAUCUUUUGUUGGCUGAUAUAUUCUUCAUGUUGGCUGAUAUAUAUCUUUUGUUGGCUGAUAUAUUCCUUUUAUUGGCUGAUACGUUUUUAUUAAUGUCUAAUAUGUCCUUAAUAUUGACUGAUAUCGGACAUCAAUUGGCUGAUAUGUUAUUUUUAUUGGCUGAUAUGCAUCAAUUGUUAUCUAAUAUGAUUUACAACCUACAAAGUAUAUACAAGUACAAACAUAUUUCUUUCUCUCUCCUCUUUCCCCUUCUUCUUCUCUUUCUCUAUCUUUCAAAUGAGAAUGGGAACAUAUCAGCCACAAAUUCUCACCACAAAUCUUCACGCCACCCCUCACUCCUCCUCAUUUGUUCUUCAUUUCCCCCUAAUGUCCUCCUUGACAACUCAGUCCGGCCGUUUUUGCCGCCGACGUUCACCGAACCCACCAACCACCGCACCACCAACCACCACAUCCCCAACCGAACCCACCAACCACGCCAUCACCAGCUGCAAAUCGCCAACCAUUGAACCACCAACCACAUCUCCAGUCGCAAAUCACCAACCGCCGACGCCAUUAACACCUCCAAUUGUAAGUUUUUUUUUUGUUUUUUUUCCGAUUUAGGGUUAUUUAUUUGGUUUAAUUUGUGAUUUGUUUUGAUUUUGGGGAUAAUUAUUUUGGGAUUUUGGGGAUGUAGAUCUGGAUUGUGGUUCAAUGUGUUUGAUUUUGCAGGUGGUGGAAGGAUGGAGUGCCCCUAUCGCUGCUGUUGUUGUUGCCGCAACCUUCUUGCAGCACAAACUAUUGGGUGCGACCGCACCCAAUAGUUUGUUAUAAUAUAAAACAGAGGUACUCGUAAUAUUUUUUAGGAAAUUUUGAUUUUUACCACCUUCAAAUAACGACUUUAUUGAAUUUACCACCUCCAAAAAAAAAAGAUUUACUUUACCACAUCAUAAAAAAAUUAAACAUCAGUUUUCCCACCUAAGCCUAACUCCGGUGACGGAAACCGCCAGAGGGGCCCGCCAUAACAGCUAGUUUUUGAAAUUAUCCCCAAAUUCUCCCGAUUUCCCAUUAAUUUAAACCUAACUUCUUCAUUUCUACAUCUAUUUCGUGAAGAUUGAAGUUUUUUUUUGCCAUUUUCUUCACAAAUUCUGAUUUUGGGUGAUCCUUAACAAUCCCACAUCCUCAAAUUAUCAAAUUAUUGAAGAUUGUACUCGGCCCUGAAUCAAUUGAACUGUUCGACGACAAACAGCGAAAAGGUUCAGGAAACAGAAAUUGAAGCAGCUCAGGUACGAGUAAUUGUUGUUGCUCAUCCACGGAUUCGGUAUUUAUAAGAUCAAACACGUUUUUGUUUGCAAUCCUUAAGCCAUUAAGGAUACAAAUCAGACCAAAAACCAAGCUAUAAGCAAAUUAUAAGAUGAACUUUGGCUCAUUUACUACCCAAAUUAAGGAUUUGUAAAGAAAAUCGCAAAAAAAAA